AACGAACGCUGGCGGCAGGCUUAACACAUGCAAGUCGAACGGUCCGCAAGGAUAGUGGCAAACGGGUGAGUAAUACAUGGGAAUGUACCUUUUAGUUCGGGAUAACAGCGGGAAACUGCUGCUAAUACCGGAUGCGCUCUACGGAGGAAAGAUUUAUCGCUGAAAGAUCAGCCCAUGCCAGAUUAGCUAGUUGGUGAGGUAAUGGCUCACCAAGGCAGUGAUCUGUAGCGGGUCUGAGAGGAUGAUCCGCCACACUGGGACUGCGAUACGGCCCAGACUCCUACGGGAGGCAGCAGUGAGGAAUAUUGGACAAUGGAGGCAACUCUGAUCCAGCCAUGCCGCGUGAAUGAUGAAGGCCUUAGGGUUGUAAAGUUCUUUAAGUGGGGAAGAUAAUGACGGUACCCACAGAAUAAGCACCGGCUAACUUCGUGCCAGCCGCCGCCGUAA
rnacentral:rRNA from 1 species